CAGUCGCCGCGGUAAUACGUAGGGUGCGAGCGUUAAUCGGAAUCACUGGGCGUAAAGCGUGCGCAGGCGGUUUGUUAAGACAGAUGUGAAAUCCCCGGGCUUAACCUGGGAACUGCAUUUGUGACUGGCCGGCUAGAGUAUGGCAGAGGGAGGUGGAAUUCCACGUGUAGCAGUGAAAUGCGUAGAUAUGUGGAGGAACACCGAUGGCGAAGGCAGCCUCCUGGGCCAAUACUGACGCUCAUGCACGAAAGCGUGGGGAGCAAACAGGAUUAGAUACCCGUGUAGUCCCUGUCUCUUAUAC
rnacentral:rRNA from 1 species